rnacentral:tRNA from 1 species
AUGGCGUUGCAGAAAUCGGCGCAUCCGUGGGCAUUUCUGAUGCGCUCGGUGGUCGGCGGGGCGAUGGUGGGGUUCGGCACCCUGCUGUCGUU